rfam:Pseudomonas pseudoalcaligenes KF707 = NBRC 110670 strain KF707 ctg1543, whole genome shotgun sequence.
GCCUUGUGCCUGAAAGGGCGACGGCGGCAGCCGGAGCGAGAAGUCAGCAGAGGCCGUAGUAGUUGUUUUUUGACGAAGGGC